rnacentral:tRNA from 1 species
GGGCGGUUAGCUCAGCGGUAGAGCAUUCGCCUUACACGCGAAGGGGCGGGGGUUCGAAUCCCUCACCGCCCA